CAGAAACAUAUAUACCAAAAAAUUUGGAGUUUACACAGAGUCAUACAUAACUUCUCUCUUGGCGAUUGAGGUACUCCCCAACUCAAACUUGCUACAAGAUUUUGGCACAAAAAAAAAAAUAAAAAAAUCUAUGCAUUUUCUAUAGAAAAAAGUGUAUAAAAGUCGCAUUAUUUUCAAAUUUAGUAGCUAGAAAAUGUCAUGCUUUGGGAAUCCUAUUGCUGAUUCCACAGCAGUUCUGUCAUGAUCCUGGAAUAGCAGGUAUGCUUGCACUAACCUUUAGAACUCGAUAUGCUUCGUAGUUAGAUGCCAAAUACUAAAACUCCCUUUAUUGAUGGGAAAGACUAUCCUUCCAAAUCUUCAAUAGAAUUCGAUCAUCUGAAAGAUAAAUGUAUCAGGCGUUGGUUCAUAUGCCUACAUGUGUCCAACCUCCGGUGGAGAUACUAGCAAAAUAUUGUUGUAGCCAUUUUCUAGUGCUAUGCCUCCUAAGUAUGUUGGUGCUUGACUGCUGCACAUCUAGUUCCUUAAUUCUACGGAACUUUCGUGAUAUUCUUCUGAUGUGAUGACAGACGGCAACUCUUGCACCUUUAACUAUGAUGCCAAAGAAAACAAAUAG
rnacentral:lncRNA from 1 species